UCUUCCUUGCAAAUGUCUGGUGACCAAUGUCAACAACUUUUGGCAUACUUGAAGGCUAACAUGACUGGAACGGAUCUCUCAAACCACCAAGCAUCUGUGUCAACCGUGGGAGGAUACAAUCACAUUAAUGAAGAAUGGGAUGGGAAUCAUGCAUGAAGGAUUGUACUACUUGCUUGAAGAGUUGAAGCCUUGUAGAAGAACAUUAGCUAGUAUCAACUCUGUCAAAUCAAGUUUUUUGUGGCACAAUAGGCUAGGACAUCCUUCAUCUAGAAUUUCAGAAAUGUUGCCUUCAACUAUUUUGUGUAAAAACUGUCAAAAUUGUGAUGUAUGCCCCCUAGCUAAGAUGAAGAGAAAAAGUUUUUGUACUAGCCAGAGCAAGAGCACAAGAAUCUUUGAAUUAGUGCAUUUUGACAUUUGGGGA